AUGUUAGCGGCGGACGGGUGAGUAACACGUGGGUAACCUGCCUGUAAGACUGGGAUAACUCCGGGAAACCGGGGCUAAUACCGGAUGGUUGUUUGAACCGCAUGGUUCAAACAUAAAAGGUGGCUUCGGCUACCACUUACAGAUGGACCCGCGGCGCAUUAGCUAGUUGGUGAGGUAACGGCUCACCAAGGCAACGAUGCGUAGCCGACCUGAGAGGGUGAUCGGCCACACUGGGACUGAGACACGGCCCAGACUCCUACGGGAGGCAGCAGUAGGGAAUCUUCCGCAAUGGACGAAAGUCUGACGGAGCAACGCCGCGUGAGUGAUGAAGGUUUUCGGAUCGUAAAGCUCUGUUGUUAGGGAAGAACAAGUACCGUUCGAAUAGGGCGGUACCUUGACGGUACCUAACCAGAAAGCCACGGCUAACUACGUGCCAGCAGCCGCGGUAAUACGUAGGUGGCAAGCGUUGUCCGGAAUUAUUGGGCGUAAAGGGCUCGCAGGCGGUUUCUUAAGUCUGAUGUGAAAGCCCCCGGCUCAACCGGGGAGGGUCAUUGGAAACUGGGGAACUUGAGUGCAGAAGAGGAGAGUGGAAUUCCACGUGUAGCGGUGAAAUGCGUAGAGAUGUGGAGGAACACCAGUGGCGAAGGCGACUCUCUGGUCUGUAACUGACGCUGAGGAGCGAAAGCGUGGGGAGCGAACAGGAUUAGAUACCCUGGUAGUCCACGCCGUAACGAUGAGUGCUAAGUGUUAGGGGUUUCCGCCCCUUAAGUGCUGCAGCUAACGCAUUAAGCACUCCGCCUGGGGAGUACGGUC
rnacentral:rRNA from 1 species